CGGGUGACACGAUGUGGGGCAAAGCCCUCCUGAAGGUUAGCAAGUGUGGGCAAAGGCUGCAGAGACGCCCCUGACACUAAUGCAGGGGCGCCGGCCUGGCCGCGUCUGCAGCAGUCGGGACCCUCUGGGGCCCCGGUUGUUCCGGAAGGUCGAGUGUAACAGCGAGACCGUCUCCAGGGUGUGAGGCAAAUGACAGCACUAGUCAUCCGUAUCAUGUUCGACAGCACAAACGUACGUAACAAAAAUCUCCACGGAAAGAAACCGAGCACACGCUCUGCUCUCACCGGCCUCCUGAGCACGGCAGCUGUUCCGCGGUCUGUGGAACACGCGCCGCCUGUAAGUGGAUUUGGAGCCAGCUUCUGUUGGGGGUGACGUCUGCGGCUACCUUGCAGAGGCCUCGUCACCGGGUGUCUGGGCGUCCGUGAGAGCCUGAGAAAGCGACGUGGACGGAGGGUUUCUGCCAACACCAGCAUGAGCGCCGCUCCAGACGGUCCCCGCUCCCGGUGGCGGCAGCCGCGCUUGCAGACUCCCUGAUGCGUCCCCAGGCUCAGCUAAGGAGUUCCGUGAGAAGUCGGCCCUUGGACGCCCCCGCCCCUCUUGAGGCCGAGCCUCACAACUACAGUGAAUACACUCAGUUUCCAGUG